CCUACGGGGGGCAGCAGUGAGGAAUAUUGGUCAAUGGGCGCGAGCCUGAACCAGCCAAGUAGCGUGAAGGAUGACUGCCCUACGGGUUGUAAACUUCUUUUAUAAAGGAAUAAAGUGAGGCACGUGUGCCUGUUUGUAUGUACUUUAUGAAUAAGGAUCGGCUAACUCCGUGCCAGCAGCCGCGGUAAUACGGGGGAUCCGAGCGUUAUCCGGAGUUAUUGGGUUUAAGGGGAGCGUAGAUGGGUUGUUAAGUAAGUUGGGAAAGUUUGCGGCUCAACAGUAAUGUUGCAAUUGAUACUGGCAGCCUUGAGUACAGUUGAGGUAGGCGGAAUUCGUAGUGUAGCGGUGGAAUGCUUAGAUAUCACGAAGAACUCCGAUUGCGAAGGCAGCUUACUAAACUGCCACUGACAUUGAUGCUCGAAAGCGUGGGGAGCAAACAGGAUUAGAUACCCUUGUAGUC
rnacentral:rRNA from 1 species